UUUAGGGAGCUCUCAGUAAAGGGU
rnacentral:piRNA from 1 species